AGAGUUUGAUCCUGGAUCAGAGCGAACGUUUGCGGCGGGCCUAACACAUGCAAGUCGAACGGGCUAGCAAUAGUCAGUGGCGCACGGGUGCGUAACACGUGGGUAAUCAACCCUUCAGCUCGGGAUAACGCCUUGAAAGGGGCGCUAAUACCGGAUACGACGCGAGGAGCUUCGGCUGCUUGCGGGAAAGAUUCGCAAGGAUCUCUGAAGGACGAGCCUGCGGCCCAUCAGCUAGUUGGUGAGGUAAGAGCUCACCAAGGCGAAGACGGGUAGCUGGUCUGAGAGGAUGAUCAGCCACACUGGAACUGAGACACGGUCCAGACUCCUACGGGAGGCAGCAGUGGGGAAUAUUGCGCAAUGGGCGAAAGCCUGACGCAGCCACGCCGCGUGAGCGAUGAAGGCCUUCGGGUCGUAAAGCUCUGUGGGGAGAGAAGGAUAAAGCCUGUGAAGAAUGGGCCUUGACGGUAUCUCCUUAGCAAGCACCGGCUAACUCCGUGCCAGCAGCCGCGGUAAUACGGAGGGUGCAAACGUUGCUCGGAAUCAUUGGGCGUAAAGCGCACGUAGGCGGCGAAGCAAGUCGGGUGUGAAAGCCCCUGGGCUCAACCCAGGAAGUGCAUUCGAAACUAUUUCGCUUGAAUCUCGGAGGGGGUCAGAGAAUUCCCGGUGUAGAGGUGAAAUUCGUAGAUAUCGGGAGGAAUACCAGUGGCGAAGGCGCUGACCUGGACGAAGAUUGACGCUGAGGUGCGAAAGCGCGGGGAGCAAACAGGAUUAGAUACCCUGGUAGUCCGCGCUGUAAACGAUGAGUGCUAGACCGGUGGAGAUUUGACCCCUUCGCUGCCGAAGCUAACGCGUUAAGCACUCCGCCUGGGGAGUACGGUCGCAAGACUAAAACUCAAAGGAAUUGACGG
rnacentral:rRNA from 1 species